GACGAACGCUGGCGGCGUGCCUAAUACAUGCAAGUAGAACGCUGAAGGAGGAGCUUGCUUCUCUGGAUGAGUUGCGAACGGGUGAGUAACGCGUAGGUAACCUGCCUGGUAGCGGGGGAUAACUAUUGGAAACGAUAGCUAAUACCGCAUAAGAGUAGAUGUUGCAUGACAUUUGCUUAAAAGUUGCAAUUGCAUCACUACCAGAUGGACCUGCGUUGUAUUAGCUAGUUGGUGGGGUAACGGCUCACCAAGGCGACGAUACAUAGCCGACCUGAGAGGGGGAUCGGCCACACUGGGACUGAGACACGGCCCAGACUCCUACGGGAGGCAGCAGUAGGGAAUCUUCGGCAAUGGACGGAAGUCUGACCGAGCAACGCCGCGUGAGUGAAGAAGGUUUUCGGAUCGUAAAGCUCUGUUGUAAGAGAAGAACGAGUGUGAGAGUGGAAAGUUCACACUGUGACGGUAUCUUACCAGAAAGGGACGGCUAACUACGUG
rnacentral:rRNA from 1 species